GCGGGUGGUGUCACAGAUUCUGAUGGUGCCACAGAUUCUGAUGGUUUGCCUUAGAGAAAUGCUUCUUGCAGAGUUUUACCAGGGGUGUUUAGGAAGAAGUCACAUUAGUGCAGAGACUGUUUAAAAAUAAAAAUUGCCAUUAGUGUGUCAAAAGUAAUUAAAUGCUUUGUUCUGAAGCUUUUACAGUGAUUCUUAGGGCUUUUAGGCAAUUUUUUUUCCUCUAAUACCUCGUCUUAAUAGAAAACAUUGUUGGAAAAAAGAUUCUCUUAAAUUUGCCUCCUUCAGGAUGAGAGUUUGCCUGGCUUCCCAGACUUUCUCUAGGGGCGCAGGGUGGAGGUCUGGACAGGAAGGAGAACAGGUGAAAGACCACUCCCAGUGACUGGUGGCACCCAAACUGUAUUCUUCAUGUUCGUUUUAGAAGAGGCAACUGUCACCCUGCAACCCUCUAUUGUGGAUUAAAUUUGUGUCCCCUCAAAAGAUAGGUGGAAGUCCUGGCCUCCAAGAACCGUGAAUGUGACCUUAUUUGGAAACAGGAUCUUUGCAGAUGUAAUUGACAUGUAAGCUAAUAUGAGGUCAUAAUGGAGUAGGGUGGACCCUUAAUCUAAGAUGAUUCAUGUCCUUAUGAGAAAAGACCCAGGCAGAGAGGAGAAGGCCAUGUGGAGGCCCAGACAUAGAGGGAAGAGGAGGGAGGACAGAGGCAGAAUUUGGAGUGAUGCUGCCACAAGCCAAGGAGUGCCAGCUGUUACCACUAGAUGCUAAGAGACAAGGAAGGAGCUUCCCUUCAAUGCCUUCAGAGGGAUCUGUGCUGAACCUCUGGACCACUCGGCGUGUCAUGGGACUGCACCGCAGACUGCAGCAGGAGCUGGACCUCAGGCCGACUAAGCCGACCUCCUGGGUCUCUCCCUGUGCUCCACAGGAGACCAAGUGA
rnacentral:lncRNA from 1 species